ensembl:lncRNA
CCUGGGUCCAGCCAUGCCUGUCUCUGGCUGCUUGGGCCUGCUGGCAGGGGAGGGCGGAGGAGGUGUGAGGAGGCUGGGGCAGCUAUGGAGGCUACUGGGCCUGCUGUAGGUAGGCCCUGAAAAGUGCUGUGUUCUGAUUUCUAUCUGCCUGGGGGCUGAAGGAGGCUGGAGUGUAAACACCCUGCUGGAACCUUCUAAACCUUGGAGCAGGAACGACUUGACAGCCGAGCCCUGGUGUAUCUGGGGCCUUCGCCACACUUCGCCACAGUGUGAUUGACAAGGCCAGAACCCUGUUCCUCAACAGUCCAGCCAAGUCUGCAGGGCCCUGGAGGAAGAGACCAGGCACGGAGGCCAUCCAGGAAAGGACAGGAAACUGAGGCUGGUGGUAGAUCAGAGGACACGAAGCUCAUCUCCCCUCACAAACACAGAGAAGAUGGAUGUACACGUGGAACAAUUUUCACAGGAUGCCAGCUGGGAACAGGCCGAGGGGUUUGGAAUCCGCCUUGCAAUGCACGGGACGCAGGUUCUAGCCCUGAUCAGGGAACUAAGAUGUCACAUGCUUUGGAGAACCAAGCCCUGGUGCCAUAAAUAGAGAGGCCCUGCACCCCGACCAAGGACCUCACAUGAAGCAACGAAGACCCUGCGUGCCACAGUUAAGACCCAACGCAGACAAAUCAACAGUGAUAAAACACUGUAUAUACAUGGUUUCAUCCUGAUAUGCUCUGAAGUUGCCAGCUGAAGAGUUUACGACUGCCCUGUCAGGUGAGAGGUACCCACAGUCCUCUGUACACGUGGUGCCACUCGGGAAAUCAGUACAUCAACUUCUCCUACCAUGAUACCCCGGAAAUACAAGGGCAUCGUGGCAAAAAUCCCUUAUGGAUGUGAAAGCGUGCCAACUUAACAUCAUUGGCAUAUGCGACAUACGAUGUGAAGCUUGACAAAUGUGGAAGGAUUUUGCAAGGAGCUCCGGAAAAACCUGUAUUUCAGAUCAUAUCUUUCUUUUAAAAACAGAUUUGCAUAGACCAGUUAGGAAUACAGCAAUAAUUGAGUUCCUAAAGGCCAAAAGACAUGUUUUGUAUGAGCUAAGAUGGAUAUUUAUGAAAAAUACUGCAAAUAAGCUUUCAAAAGACAAAAUCGUCUUAGACUUUUGGAGCUGGCCUUUCAGGAAGGAACGAGCAGAGCUGGGCC